ACAGAACAAGUAACAUCGUUUUGUUUCUUCUAAUUUUUAAAUUUAAUUUAAUUUCAAUAAUAUUAUUUUCAUUAAUUUUUUUUUUUUGAGUCGAUAUGUCGGACACUUUAUUAAUUUCAUCUGCUGGCAGUGCCACCGAGUCUGCUCUUGCAGAUUCUAGUGGAGUGCGACCCGUUUCUGGAUUUCGCAAUUAUCUGCAUCAAUCAAGAGGAUUGUGGUAACUCAAUAUGAGUUAUUUUCUUAAAUAAUAACUACACGACAAAUAUUAACAACGGAGAAUUUUCUUUACAACAAAACUUUACAAAAACUAACCAAAUGAAGAAACACGUCUGAGCGUUUUAAGUCAGUUCUGACAAUUGAACAUUUUUUUUACAAAUCAAGAAAUCUCUAUCGCUAUCUGUAUCUGUACUUCCCACACAUAUUCUUCCUUUGCUAGUCCACUGUACACCACUUCUAAACUUUCACCAGAUCCUUGUGGUGAUUGAGGAUCAGUGUGUAUAGUUUUAAAACAACUUGUCUGCUUCCUGAAUGGUCAUGGCAUACACGAAGACACGCCCAUGGUCAUGCAGCUGGGCCACAACGCCUGGGACAAGAUCAAGACAGUUUACUCCAUUCUUUUUCACGUGCAAAUUUGAAUGGAUAAAUGCGAUUUGCAUUUUCUGAAAAAUAAAAGCAAUUAAAUAAAUUGAGUCCUUGAAGGGGAUUCCUUUCA